rnacentral:rRNA from 1 species
GGAUGAACGCUGGCGGCGUGCCUAAGGCAUGCAAGUCGUGGGACAGGUUUUUUUGUAGCAAUACCGAGAAACACUGACCGGCAAACGGGAGAGUAACACAUUGAUAACUUACCUUCGAGACGGGGAUAGCUCGGCGAAAGCCGGAUUAAUACCCGAUAGACAUGGGGGGGCGUGAGGCCAUUCCCAUGUAAAACUUCGGUGCUCGGAGAGAGGUCUAUGUCUGAUUAGUUAGUUGGUGAGGUAAUGGCUCACCAAGACGAUGAUCAGUACCGGGCGUGAGAGCGUGACCCGGCUCACUGGGACUGAGAUACUGCCCAGACACCUACGGGUGGCUGCAGUCAGGAAUAUUCCGCAAUGCACGAAAGUGUGACGGAGCGACGCCGCGUGCAGGAAGAAGCCCUUCGGGGUGUAAACUGCUUUUAUAUGGGAAGAAUUUUUGACGGUACCAUAUGAAUAAGAGGUUGCAAACUCUGUGCCAGCAGCAGCGGUAAUACAGAGACCUCAAGCGUUAUCCGGAUUCAUUGGGCGUAAAGCGUCCGCAGGUGGUUUUUUAAGUUGGGAGUCAAAUCUUUGGGCUUAACCUAAAGACUGCUCUCAAUACUGGGAAACUUGAGACUGGGAGAGGUAUACGGAACUGUUGGUGUAGUAGUAAAAUGCGUUGAUAUCAACAGGAACACCAAAGGCGAAAGCAGUAUACUGGAACAGUUCUGACACUCAUGGACGAAAGCGUGGGGAGCGAAUGGGAUUAGAUACCCCAGUAGUCCACGCCCUAAACGAUGUGUACUAGGUAUUUGGAGUAUCGACCCUCUAAGUGCCGUUUAAAAAAGCUAACGCGUUAAGUACACCGCCUGGGGACUACGGCCGCAAGGUUAAAACUCAAAGGAAUAGACGGGACCCGCACAAGCAGAGGAUCAUGUGGGUUUAAUUCGAUGGUACGCGGCAAACCUCACCAAGGCUUGACAUGUAGCUGCAAGCUCUGGAAACAGGAGCCGCCUUCGAGGGCGCUAC